GCCAGCAGCCAUAUCACUCUGCAACUCACAACUGGCAACCCACUGAAACUAAGCAGGUGUGAGCCUGGUCAGUACCUGGAUGGGAAAACUCCUGAGAAAAACUAAGGUUGCUGCUGGAA
rnacentral:rRNA from 1 species